rnacentral:rRNA from 1 species
CCUGACUGCUAUCGGAUUGAUACUAAACCAUGCGAGUCUUUGUAGUAAUACAAGGCAGACGGCUCAGUAACGCGUAGUCAACCUACCCUAUGGACGGGAAUAAUCUCGGGAAACUGAGCAUAAUACCCGGCGUACCACCAUUCCUGGAAUGGUUGGUGGUUAAAAUGAUUCGUCGCCGUAGGAUGGGACUGCGACUUAUCAGCUUGUUGGUGAGGUAAAGGCCCACCAAGGCGAUUACAGGUACGGGCUCUGAGAGGAGAAGCCCGGAGAUGGGUACUGAGACACGGACCCAGGCCCUAUGGGGCGCAGCAGGCGAGAAAACUUUGCAAUGUGCGAAAGCACGACAAGGUUAAUCCGAGUGAUUUCUGCUAAAGGAAUCUUUUGCCAGUUCUAAAAAUACUAGUGAAUAAGGGGUGGGCAAGUUCUGGUGUCAGCCGCCGCGGUAAAACCAGCACCUCAAGUGGUCAGGAGGAUUAUUGGGCCUAAAGCAUCCGUAGCCUGCUCUGUAAGUUUUCGGUUAAAUCUAUAUGCUCAACGUAUAGGCUGCCGAAAAUACUGCAGUGCUAGGAAGUGGGAGAGGUAGACGGUACUUGCUAGGAAGGGGUAAAAUCCUUUGAUCUAUCGAUGACCACCUGUGGCGAAGGCGGUCUACCAGAACACGUCCGACGGUGAGGGAUGAAAGCUGGGGGAGCAAACCGGAUUAGAUACCCGGGUAGUCCCAGCUGUAAACGAUGCAGACUCGAUGAUGCAUUGGCAUAUAGCCAGUGCAGUGUCGCAGGGAAGCCGUUAAGUCUGCCGCCUGGGAAGUACGUACGCAAGUAUGAAACUUAAAGGAAUUGGCGGGGGAGCACCACAAGGGGUGAAGCCUGCGGUUC